rnacentral:rRNA from 1 species
UACGUAGGCAGCAAGCGUUGUUCGGAGUUACUGGGCGUAAAGGGUGCGUAGGCGGUUGUUUAAGUUUGGUGUGAAAUCCUCCCGGCUCAACUGGGAGGGUGCGCCGAAUACUGAAUGACUAGAGUGCGGGAGAGGAGAGUGGAAUUCCUGGUGUAGCGGUGAAAUGCGUAGAUAUCAGGAGGAACACCGGUGGUGUAGACGGCUCUCUGGACCGUAACUGACGCUGAGGCACGAAAGCGUGGGUAGCAAACAGG